GACGAACGCUGGCGGCGUGCUUAACACAUGCAAGUCGAACGAGAGGACGAGAGGAGCUUGCUCCUUUCCGAAUCGAGUGGCAAACGGGUGAGUAACACGUAAACAACCUGCCUUCAGGAUGGGGACAACAGACGGAAACGACUGCUAAUACCGAAUACCUUCCAAGAGCCGCAUGACACUUGGAAGAAAGGGUGGCCUCUACUUGUAAGCUAUCGCCUGGAGAGGGGUUUGCGUCUGAUUAGGCAGUUGGUGAGGUAACGGCUCACCAAACCGACGAUCAGUAGCCGGUCUGAGAGGAUGAACGGCCACACUGGAACUGAGACACGGUCCAGACUCCUACGGGAGGCAGCAGUGGGGAAUCUUCCGCAAUGGGCGAAAGCCUGACGGAGCAACGCCGCGUGAGUGAUGACGGCCUUCGGGUUGUAAAGCUCUGUGAUCGGGGACGAAUGAGCAGCGUGCCAAUACCACGCUGAAAUGACGGUACCCGAAAAGCAAGCCACGGCUAACUACGUGCCAGCAGCCGCGGUAAUACGUAGGUGGCAAGCGUUGUCCGGAAUUAUUGGGCGUAAAGCGCGCGCAGGCGGUUUGUUAAGUCCAUCUUAAAAGUGCGGGGCUUAACCCCGUGAGGGGAUGGAAACUGACAGACUGGAGUAUCGGAGAGGAAAGCGGAAUUCCUAGUGUAGCGGUGAAAUGCGUAGAGAUUAGGAAGAACACCGGUGGCGAAGGCGGCUUUCUGGACGACAACUGACGCUGAGGCGCGAAAGCGUGGGGAGCAAACAGGAUUAGAUACCCUGGUAGUCC
rnacentral:rRNA from 1 species